CAGGGUCGCAAGAAGCGUGUGGAAAAACCAAGGCACAAAAUAACUGCCCAUGAACUGAGAAAAGUCAAGCGUGCAGCUGCCACGAUGGCACUUGCCACCAGUUUGGCCAUAUUUCAGAGCUGCAACAUCACUGGAGUGCCCAAAAGCACAAGGUGUGCAAUACUCAGAGACAUGGCCAAGGUAAGAAAGGCUGAAAGACGACCACCACUGAACAAGACACACAAGCUGAAACGUCAAG